UGAAUUUGAUGCAUUAAGAUUGGAAAGUGAAAUUCUAGUAUGACAUUUUUUUUUUUACCUUCAGAUGCAUAGCAAUGUUCUUCACAUUUUCUUAUGUGUGGUUGGUGGGUGAGGAUGAAUUUUGGUGAUGAAUUCUUUCUUGAUUUGGGGAUAGUUUGGGUAUGUAUGUAUUUAUUUUAUUUUUUUCUAGUAUUUUAUUAUGUUUUCAUUUUAAAUUAAUGUUAAUUAAAACAAAAACCAUGUGGACAUUAAAAAGUCCAACAAAUCAAUAAAUAUCCUAGUCAGAUGCCAAAUCAUAGGACACAUCAUCAUAGUUAACUGAUGUUUAACGUUUUGGACUAAACUGACUAACGUAAUUAACAAUCGGGGACGUUUUUUUAAUUUCCGUUCAUUCAUGGACUAUUAUGACAGCGAGCGACACUUACAGGG
rnacentral:lncRNA from 1 species